rnacentral:piRNA from 1 species
UGGAAAUGUGCCUCCUCAAUUCUUCCUUC